CAGUGCUGGGGAAGUAAGUGUAGUGCGUCUCGGCAGCUGUCCCCUCGGCGUCAACCGUAUCGUCACUGGUGAAUGCACCCUGGAUCACCGCCUGGGAAAGGGAACAUGAGAACAAAGUUCAACGACAGUCAGGUAACACCUGCAGGCGCCUGGCCCCCUCCCUUACCUGGCCCCCAUUCUCAGUUCGGAAGACGUACUUGACGUUGGGGUCAGGGAAGGUGGCAGCUGACUGGAUGCUGGCAAUGGCCACGCUGGUGGGGUCCUCCCCAGUUGCCACCGCUCCUGAAUUAAAAGAGCGAAGGAAAACUCUGCGAGAUGGGGAGCCAGAUCACAACACUAGCAGGUGACGGAGCUGAAACCGGAAUCUAGGUCUGCCUGACUCCAGAGCCAGUGCUCUCAGCCGUUCUGCGUCCUCCCCGGCCUCCCACCUCCCGCCCCAGACCCUACCUCUUCCUCACUCACCCCUUCAUCUCUCUGUAAGGGGGCACAUCCAAGGAACUGGUCCUUCUUUGGAAGCCUUUGUAUCUCCCGCCUCACAGGCCAGAGUGUUAAGUCCUGGGAGAAAUCAGGGAGUUUGCGGUGAGGCCAAGAAACUGAACAGCCUGUUUCAAGAAGCCGGGCUCCAUGAAGACUCAGCCAGGAACAAAGUGCAGUCACCUACAGGGGACAGUUUCCUCCGUUCUGAUGCUGAGAGGUGGGCUACAGUACUUGAAAAAGUAACUCUACAGGGGCGCCUGGGUGGCGCAGUCGGUUAAGCGUCCGACUUCAGCCAGGUCACGAUCUCGCGGUCCGUGAGUUCGAGCCCCGCAUCAGGCUCUGGGCUGAUGGCUCAGAGCCUGGAGCCUGU